rnacentral:rRNA from 1 species
AGGAUGAACGCUGACAGAAUGCUUAACACAUGUAAGUCGACUGGAAUUCACCUUCGGGUGAUAGUACGGUGGCGGACGGGUGAGUAACGCGUAAAGAACUUGCCCUCUAGACUGGGACAACUGUUGGAAACGACAGCUAAUACCGGAUAUUAUGAGAACCUCGCAUGGGGAACUUAUGAAAGGCUAUAUGCGCUAGAGGAGAGCUUUGCGUGCCAUUAGGUAGUUGGUAGGGUAAUGGCCUACCAAGCCGACGAUGGCUAGCCGGCCUGAGAGGGUGAUCGGCCACAAGGGGACUGAGACACGGCCCUUACUCCUACGGGAGGCAGCAGUGGGGAAUAUUGGACAAUGGGCCACAAGCCUGAUCCAGCAAUUCUGUGUGCACGAUGAAGGUCUUCGGAUCGUAAAGUGCUUUCAGUAGGGAAGAAAAAAAUGACGGUACCUACAGAAGAAGCGACGGCUAAAUACGUGCCAGCAGCCGCGGUAAUACGUAUGUCGCAAGCGUUAUCCGGAAUUAUUGGGCGUAAAGCGCGUCUAGGCGGUCUUUUAAGUCUGAUGUUAAAAUGCGGGGCUCAACUCCGUAUUGCGUUGGAAACUGGAAGACUAGAGUAUCAGAGAGGUGGGCGGAACUACAAGUGUAGAGGUGAAAUUCGUAGAUAUUUGUAGGAAUGCCGAUUGGGAAGCCAGCUCACUGGAUGAAUACUGACGCUGAAGCGCGAAAGCGUGGGGAGCAAACGGGAUUAGAUACCCCGGUAGUCCACGCCGUAAAUCGA